GGCCUGCCCUGCCUGACCUACUUUUGUGAGGCCGAGGCCAUCUCCUCCACUCUCUGGGGGCCUCUUCUGACUCCUCUAAACUCUUGCAUGUCUGGACUCCUGGCUUCUGCCCAAGGUCAUCUAUUGGAGUUUGGGUUUCCAGUUGAGGAUCUGCCUUUUUCCUGGAUGACCAAACCUAGAAUGAGACCAGCCUCAUGCUCCGUCCUCACAGGGGUGUGGCUUUAUCCGAGAGCCUCAGCAAGGCAACCAACACCAGACAUGAAGCUGAGCACACUCAGUUCAGCCUAGGAGACAAAGUCGGGGUGGAGGACGGUCCAUCUUCUUCCACAUCAAGAUGGGAAGUCUUGACUCAUUACCCACUGGAAACUUUUCCUGCUGGGCUCUGCACUGUCAACUGUGAGACAGGGAAAUAAAACGUACUGUACAGUCCAA